UACGUAGGGGGCUAGCGUUGUUCGGAUUUACUGGGCGUAAAGGGCGCGUAGGCGGCGCAACAAGUCACUUGUGAAAUCUCCGGGCUUAACCCGGAGCGGUCAAGUGAUACUGUCGUGCUAGAGUGCGGAAGGGGCUACUGGAAUUCUUGGUGUAGCGGUGAAAUGCGUAGAUAUCAAGAGGAACACCUGCGGCGAAGGCGGGUUGCUGGGCCGACACUGACGCUGAGGCGCGAAAGCUAGGGGAGCGAACGGG
rnacentral:rRNA from 1 species